rnacentral:rRNA from 1 species
UACGGGAGGCAGCAGUGGGGUAAUAUUCCACAAUGGAAAGAACUUCUGAUGCAACGACCGCCGCGUGAAGAGAAGAAUUUCUUCGUUGUAAUAAUACCUCUGUCCCUUGACGAAGAAAAUGACCGUCCCA